rnacentral:rRNA from 1 species
GCCUACCAAGGCUACGACGGGUCGCUGGUCUGAGAGGACGACCAGCCACACUGGCACUGAGAUACGGGCCAGACUCCUACGGGAGGCAGCAGUGAGGAAUAUUGCGCAAUGGGGGAAACCCUGACGCAGCAACGCCGCGUGUGGGAAGAAGGCCUUCGGGUCGUAAAACCACUUUUGCACGGGACGAAAAAGGGAUAUCGAACAAAUAUCCCCGAUGACGGUACCGUGAGAAUAAGCCACGGCUAACUCUGUGCCAGCAGCCGCGGUAAGACAGAGGUGGCAAGCGUUGUUCGGAAUUACUGGGCGUAAAGAGUCUGUAGGUGGUUGUCAAGUCUUUGGUGAAAGGCCGUAGCUUAACUAUGGGAAUGCCAAAGAGACU